AGGACUAGAGAUGCUAUUGAGGAGGAAACUAGAUGAAUAUUUUCAUUUCUCUAUACCAGCUAUAUUGCCUGUGACAUGGAGGAAGACAACCCUGUCUCCAAGUGGAGCAUUUUCCCUUUUGUGCUUGGAAAGGAAGACUGGCCCAUCCUCUAUAAAGAAUUUCUGAGGCUACAAGCAGACUUCUUCCAUGCAAUGGGUGGCAGAGCCUGGGUCACCCCAGAGAUAUGUGAAGAGAAACCAAGAAAGAGAGGACCUAAUGGAGAGCCCACCAAAAGAAGUGUUCCAUCAAAAGCAGGUCCUUGUAGUGCUGAAAGAAUACAGGAUUCACUGUGAGAGCUUGGCCUGGCUGGUGGCAGCAGGAGACAAAGAAGAGAGAAGAAGAGGAGUUAGAAGCCCAGCUUUAGAAAGGGAAGGAAUCCCAAAGGAAGAGAAUUCUGCCUGCAGCGAGCAACGGUCCCUGCUGCCCUGAGGUGUGAGGUUGACCAGAAGUUGGGGAAUGGGGGUAGGACUAACCCAGUGUAGAUAUGCUUCACUUUACAAAGUAGGUGUGUCCAUCAAUUUUUUUUUUAUAAAUUUAACUAUAUUUUAAGUAAAUUAAGGGAUCUGGCUUUUUAAGAGAAAGCCCAUUGUGAAAUCUUUUGUAAAGAAAGUGAUCAGCAAUACGUCCCCACACAUAUUUUACAUACAUAUUCACACAUAUAUACUACUACCAGUAUCUAAUUUAUCUUUUGUAUAAAUCAAGAUUUUCAUGUAUUGGGUUUACUUAAAUAGGAUUAUAUCUUUAAUAGAGAGUAAGCAAUCAAGUGACCAAAGCUCUAAGGGGAUUAAUGAUGAAAGUGCUUAGAGGAAUUGUCAUUCAUUGGCCUUCACUGCCUCUGGAAUGCCACUGUGCUUGAUGACACAGACCCACUUUAGGAGAGUGACUGGCAGGGUAUUGCUAGGAAGAAGACACGAGGGAAGAGGAGAGAACACUAGGGAGGCCCAUCCUGUUUUACUGUGGAAGGUAUUUGGUUUUUUCCUGUUUCUUCUUCACUCAUCCUUUCCUUAUAGCUCCACAACCGCAAAACAGCUGUUGUCUCCCACCUUACGCCAGCGGUAGCUGAUAGGACAGUAACUCCAGAGAGAUGAGUUCAGUCCUCCAGCUUCUCUCUGAAAGGAAAGUCACAGGGCUUAAGGGGCUAUGCCUGGUCUGGCAACCCUGGCAAAAUGAAACAGUGCUCCGGGUAUGCUCAAACCUUUAAAUGGGCAUAAUCAACUGGCCCCCAAAUCUAUGGUUCACUGGGUGUGGGAAGGAAGCACUGUGGAAGGAGCAAGUGAUGGUGGUACUGAAGAAAAAAGAGCAUGCAAGUAGGAACAAGAACUUGCAAAUGGGGCAGUAUGAGAAGCUAAGAGGAGGAACAAGAGGUGCAAGUAAGAAUGGAAGAUGGAGAACAGAGGUGGGGGAGGGGCAGAAAACAAAAGAGGAAGGGCUUAAUGAAGAGUAAAAGGAGAGGAGGAGGAAUAGAAGAGGAGAAAGGGGAAAGAAAGGAGCAAGUGAGAAGGAAGGAAGGUGAGGAGGAAGAAGAAAGUGAGCAACCAGGGGAGGAGGAGAGGAGAUGAGCAAAUGACAAAUGUAGGAAGGACAUUGGGGAGACUUCUCUGUUUCCUUGCAAGGAAUCCCUGGACUGGAGUAUCCCAGAAUAUAAUCCAUCAUUCAUUGCUGUUGGAGUUAAAACCUGCUGCUUCUGUUUUGGGUCCUCUGCCCUGGGUAUGAGCUAGGCAGGAAGCUCAUGCCUUCCUGCUACCUGUUAGCAAACUCAAUCAUGUUUACAGAGAUAUUGUUUCUAUCUCUUAAGGCUUGUUUUAUGGUUAUGUGUAUAUACACUACAUGUUAUUACCCUUUGGUCUCUACCAAAUAAAUCACCCUUUUGAAUUGAGAAUAUUUGU
ensembl:lncRNA